rnacentral:rRNA from 1 species
AUGAACGCUGGCGGCGUGCCUAAUCCAUGCAAGUCGAGCGAACGGACGAGAAGCUUGCCUCUCUGAUGUUAGCGGCGGACGGGUGAGUAACACGUGGAUAACCUACCUAUAAGACUGGGAUAACUUCGGGAAACCGGAGCUAAUACCGGAUAAUAUUUUGAACCGCAUGGUUCAAAAGUGAAAGACGGUCUUGCUGUCACUUAUAGAUGGAUCCGCGCUGCAUUAGCUAGUUGGUAAGGUAACGGCUUACCAAGGCAACGAUGCAUAGCCGACCUGAGAGGGUGAUCGGCCACACUGGAACUGAGACACGGUCCAGACUCCUACGGGAGGCAGCAGUAGGGAAUCUUCCGCAAUGGGCGAAAGCCUGACGGAGCAACGCCGCGUGAGUGAUGAAGGUCUUCGGAUCGUAAAACUCUGUUAUUAGGGAAGAAAAUAUGUGUAAGUAACUGUGCACAUCUUGACGGUACCUAAUCAGAAAGCCACGGCUAACUACGUG